rnacentral:rRNA from 1 species
UGGGGGAUAUUGCACAAUGGGGGAAACCCUGAUGCAGCGACGCCGCGUGGAGGAAGAAGGUUUUCGGAUUGUAAACUCCUGUCGUUAGGGACGAUAAUGACGGUACCUAACAAGAAAGCACCGGCUAACUACGUGCCAGCAGCCGCGGUAAAACGUAGGGUGCAAGCGUUGUCCGGAAUUACUGGGUGUAAAGGGAGCGCAGGCGGGAAGACAAGUUGGAAGUGAAAACCAUGGGCUCAACCCAUGAAUUGCUUUCAAAACUGUUUUUCUUGAGUAGUGCAGAGGUAGAUGGAAUUCCCGGUGUAGCGGUGGAAUGCGUAGAUAUCGGGAGGAACACCAGUGGCGAAGGCGGUCUACUGGGCACCAACUGACGCUGAGGCUCGAAAGCAUGGGCAGCAAACAGG